UACGGAGGGGGCAAGCGUUGUUCGGAAUUACUGGGCGUAAAGGGCGCGCAGGCGGCUGCUCAAGUCAGGCGUGAAAGGCCUGGGCUCAACCCGGGAAUUGCGCUUGAGACUGGGCUGGCUUGAGUGCGGGAGAGGAUGGUGGAAUUCCCAGUGUAGAGGUGAAAUUCGUAGAUAUUGGGAAGAACACCGGUGGCGAGGGCGGCCAUCUGGACCGCAACUGACGCUGAGGCGCGAAAGCGUGGGGAGCGAACAGG
rnacentral:rRNA from 1 species